rnacentral:lncRNA from 1 species
AUGCUAUUCAAUUCAAAAAACACAAUUUCCAAAGUGUGUCUGGACCACAAGAGUAUAUGGUGGAAGUGCCACCGUGAAUCCAGCCCUACGCCGUCACCGUGGAGAAUACCCCCCAGGGUGCUCGAUGUGAACUUGUGUCUCUCCGAGGUGGUUUCUAGGACAAAUGACAGAAGAUUUUUUCCCUUUUUGAUUCUAUUUGUGUUAUUUACCUUUAUGUCUUGUCUUUGCCAUUGGACUGAAAGCUUCUUGGAGGCAGGGAUAAUAUCUUAUUCUCUGCAUCCCUGGAUCUUAGCACAUCCAGUGUACCUAGAACUUGUGUGUGUGUGUGUGUGUGUGUGUGCGCGCGCGCGCACACUCAGUCUUGUCUGAGAGUUUGCAGCCCUGUUGACUGUAGCCUGCCAGGCUCCUCUGUGCAUGGGAUUUUCCAGGCAAGGAUACUGGAGUGAGUUGCCAUUUCCUCUUCCAGGGGAUCGUCCUGACACAGGGAUCAAACCCUUGUCUCUUACAUCUCCUGCAUUGGCAGGCGGAUUCAUUACCACUGCAGCACCUGGGAAACCCCUUUUACCUACUUGCUGCUGCUACUGCUUCUAAGUCGCUUCAGUCGUGUCCGACUCUGUGCGACCGCAUAGACAACAGCCCACCAGGCUCCCCCGUCCCUGGGAUUUUCCAGGCAAGAACACUGGAGCGGGUUGCCAUUUCCUUCUCCAAUGCAUGAAAGUGAAAAGUCAAAGUGAGGUCACUCAGUCGUGUCCAACUCUUAGCGACCCCAUGGACUGCAGCCCACGUCCAUGGGAUUUUCCAGGCAGGAGCACUGGAGUGGGUGCCAUCGCCUUCUCCGUUUACCUACUUAGACAAAUGCAAAACUUCACACUGACAUAGUGCCUAUUGUGUGCUUGAGGCUGUUCUCAGUGCUUUAGAUUUCUUGUUGUUCACUUGCUAAGUCAUGUCUAACUCUGCAACCCCGUGGACUGCAGCAUGCCAGGCUCCUCUUUCCUCCACUAUCUCCCGGAGUUUGCUCAAAUUCAUGUCCAUUGAGUCGGUGCUUUAGAUAGUGUAUCAGUUAAGGCCCAGUCUGGAGCCAGGAAAAGGGUCCAGUCAGUUUUUCCAACACGAGUACAGCCACCACCCCUGGAGUUAGAGAAACAAAAAUGAAAGGUUGGGUUACCAGACCAGACGCUCCAAGGAGGGACUCCCUACAGAUACUUGGAUCUUUACUGAGAGGAGUCACCGUGAGGCCCUCACGAGUCACCACACGGCCCUUACUCAGACCUCUCAGAGGAUGUGGG